AAUAAAUGAACAAACGUAGUAGGCGAUUAUUUAAUUUAAAUACUUAAUAGUGUGGCGCGACAGGCCAAGAUCGAAGCCCGUCAGCCCGAAGAAGGGUUAAAGCAGAGUAGCAGACUAAUAAGUAAUAACUUAUAAGUUAUACUCAUAACUUUGAUCCUGAUCGGCUGAUUCAAUCAGAUUGCAGGAAAUCAAAUAUCACUAGGCAUGCACAACUAAAAAAAUAAAAUGUAUUAUCACGUGCUUGCAUGUAAAUUUAAGGAUUCUGCACAUAAAGAUGGAGCCUGGCGUAGCAGACCAACCCCAGUAGAAGUAGAUGUGUACCUACAGGGUUUUUUUCAGGGAUUUUUUAGGACCGUUAAACGGCCUCAAAAACUCAAUCUUGAAUUGAGUUUUGAAACUCAAUGUUCUCACCAAAGUUUCAGUGCAGUAAAAAUGAAGUUGCUUGAGUUAAAUUCGUGGCGUGUGGAAAUUAGUUUUCAGUUGGAAACCCGACAAUUAAGAAAAAAUGGCUGGAAUUCAUCUCACAAGAAAAACUAUGCAUUCGCCAUCUUUAACCAGUUUAUAGUGUCCCUUAGUACACCUGCUUGAACACAUUCCGUCUCAACUAUACAUUUAUUGAGUACAGGUGUCAGCCCCGGGGGGGGUGCAGCCACACCAGCUGUUCAGCUAAACUCAAUCUUCUCUGCAAAAACGGGCCCAAGAGAAAAUCCUAAAAAAAACCUGACCUACUAGGCAUACUAUAGUACGUUGAUGUAUCCACUUCUGCUGGGGUCGAUUUGUUAAAGACAUAUAUUUUCUAUGUCGCGUAUGUACGACGAAAAACGUUCAGAAUCACCAAAAUCUUUUGACGUGCUUCUCAAAAUUACUUUGUUUUUAAUUAGCUUGAUUUUCUAGCUUAUAUGCAGU